AGAACGAACGCUGGCGGCGUGCCUAACACAUGCAAGUCGAACGAGAAAGGGACUUCGGUCCUGAGUAAAGUGGCGCACGGGUGAGUAACACGUAGGUAACCUGCCUCUAGGAUUGGGAUAACCUGUCGAAAGACGAGCUAAUACCAAAUAAGACCACAAUUUCCUCGGAAGCAGCGGUCAAAGGUAGCCUCUACAUGUAAGCUAUCGCUUAGAGCUGGGCCUGCGUACCAUUAGCUAGUUGGUAGGGUAACGGCCUACCAAGGCUAAGAUGGUUAGCUGGUCUGAGAGGAUGAUCAGCCACACUGGGACUGAGACACGGCCCAGACUCCUACGGGAGGCAGCAGUGGGGAAUCUUGCGCAAUGGGCGAAAGCCUGACGCAGCAACGCCGCGUGCGGGAAGAAGGCCUCGGGUGUAAACCGC
rnacentral:rRNA from 1 species